UAAUACAUGCAAGUCGAACGCGCAGCGAAAGGUGCUUGCACCUUUCAAGCGAGUGGCGAACGGGUGAGUAACACGUGGAUAACCUGCCUCAAGGCUGGGGAUAACAUUUGGAAACAGAUGCUAAUACCGAAUAAAACUUAGUAUCGCAUGAUACAAAGUUGAAAGGCGCUACGGCGUCACCUAGAGAUGGGUCCGCGGUGCAUUAGUUAGUUGGUGGGGUAAAGGCCUACCAAGACAAUGAUGCAUAGCCGAGUUGAGAGACUGAUCGGCCACAUUGGGACUGAGACACGGCCCAAACUCCUACGGGAGGCUGCAGUAGGGAAUCUUCCACAAUGGGCGAAAGCCUGAUGGAGCAACGCCGCGUGUGUGAUGAAGGCUUUAGGGUCGUAAAGCACUGUUGUAUGGGAAGAAAUGCUAGAAUAGGGAAUGAUUCUAGUUCGACGGUACCAUACCAGAAAGGGACGGCUAAAUACGUGCCAGCAGCCGCGGUAAUACGUAUGUCCCGAGCGUUAUCCGGAUUUAUUGGGCGUAAAGCGAGCGCAGACGGUUGAUUAAGUCUGAUGUGAAAGCCCGGAGCUCAACUCCGGAAUGGCAUUGGAAACUGGUUAACUUGAGUGUUGUAGAGGUAAGUGGAACUCCAUGUGUAGCGGUGGAAUGCGUAGAUAUAUGGAAGAACACCAGUGGCGAAGGCGGCUUACUGGACAACAACUGACGUUGAGGCUCGAAAGUGUGGGU
rnacentral:rRNA from 1 species